ensembl:ribozyme RNaseP_nuc Nuclear RNase P
UGUGGGAUGAUCUUGUGGUCGUGGGACGCAGCCCCACAUUGGUCUCCGUGCUGAGCAUGGAGCCUGCUUGAGAUUCUGUCUCCCUCUGCUUUUUGCCCUCCCUUGCACAUGUGUGCACUCUCUCUCUCAAAAAUAAAUAAAUAUUAAAAAAAAUGAUGAACAGACAUGCCAUGAACCCUGCCCUUGGUGGGGUGGGGGGGCGGGUGUGCUAGAGGGUGCCUCCUUAAGCCAGAGCUUGGAACAGACUUUCUCCUGGCAAAGUGAGUUCAAUGGCUGAGAUAAGGUACCCCAGCUGAGAGCCUCAUAACCCAAUUCAGACUAGUCUUCUCUGUA